GAUGAACGCUAGCGGGAGGCUUAACACAUGCAAGUCGAGGGGCAGCAUAGGGUAGCAAUACUCUGAUGGCGACCGGCAAACGGGUGAGUAACGCGUAUGCAACCUACCCUGUACAGGGGGAUAACCCGGAGAAAUUCGGACUAAUAUCCCGUAAUAAUAUCCGGAGGCAUCUUUGGAUAUUUAAAGUUCCGACGGUACGGGAUGGGCAUGCGUAACAUUAGCUGGUUGGUAAGGUAACGGCUUACCAAGGCUAUGAUGUUUAGGGGUCCUGAGAGGGUGGUCCCCCACACUGGUACUGAGACACGGACCAGACUCCUACGGGAGGCAGCAGUGAGGAAUAUUGGUCAAUGGGCGCAAGCCUGAACCAGCCAUCCCGCGUGCAGGAAGACGGCCCUAUGGGUUGUAAACUGCUUUUCCAGGGAGAGAAACUUACGCACGUGUUGCGUGACUGACGGUACCCUGGGAAUAAGCAUCGGCUAACUCCGUGCCAGCAGCCGCGGUAAACUA
rnacentral:rRNA from 1 species